rnacentral:rRNA from 1 species
UACGUAGGGGGCAAGCGUUAUCCGGAUUUACUGGGUGUAAAGGGCGUGUAGGCGGGGAAGCAAGUCAGAUGUGAAAACUAUGGGCUCAACCCAUAGCCUGCAUUUGAAACUGUUUUUCUUGAGUGCUGGAGAGGCAAUCGGAAUUCCGUGUGUAGCGGUGAAAUGCAUAGAUAUACGGAGGAACACCAGUGGCGAAGGCGGAUUGCUGGACAGUAACUGACGUUGAGGCUCGAAAGCGUGGGGAGCAA